GGCGAGCUCGCAGAGGCAGCGGCGGCGGCGGCGGAGACGGAGAGAGGCAGGCAGGCAGGGCGAGGGCGAGAGACGGAGGGAGGGAGCGAGCGAGGCGGACCAGACAGACAGACAGGCGGGCAGGCGGGCAGGCAGAGCGAGCCACCCGCCAGGCUGCGCUCAACCCCGCGCGCAGCGAAAAAGAGCAGAAGGCAGGAGGAGGGAGGGGAGGAGGGAGGAGGGAGGGAGAGGGAAUCCAGCUACCACCACCCAAAGCCAGCGUCUGCUUUCUGUCCUCAUUUCCUUUUCCCACCCAGCUCGGAGAGCAGAGAAAGGCAGAGAGAGCGAGAAAUAGAGACAGGCAGGCAAACAGACAGACAGACAGAACGGGAGGGAGGAGGGCGGCGGAGGAGGAACAGGAGGACUACGCGGGGCGCGUUCCCUCCCAGCAGCCGUGCGCCCGCGUCGCUGCCGCCGCGGGAAGACAGACGCCCCCCAAAGCCCCUCGCCUGGCUCGGACUCACGGAGCCAGCAGCCCAGCACUCCGGAUUGGUAUGAAGAAUUAAAUGAAGCGAUGCCUGGACAGCUUCCAGCCCAUUGCCCGGUGCACAGUAGGUGCUCACUAAACCUGAGCUGCGAUGGUCCUUUCCAGGCGCUGUCCACGGCCCGAGGCCUGGACUCAGGCCGAAGUUGCUCUGCAGCAUCCCCAGCUGACAGCCAGCGAUUGGCAGAGCCCCCAGACACGGGGGGCCCUCUCACUCCCAG
rnacentral:lncRNA from 1 species